CUUUAAGAAGAUUAGAAAGAACAAGAUAAAUCUGGGCGGGGUGUAAUUUAGUCUUAGUUGUCAAUUCAUGUGUCUAUUUUGAUGGAGAUGACUGUUACAGUUGGUUGAACCCAGUGAUCUUGCAAUGGUUUCUUUUCUCCAAAAUGGAAUUUCUCCAGGACUUGGUAGUUUGCCUUCUUAAAGUACAACUACUCUCCAGGUAUCGACCCGCUACCUCAUCAGAAAAGCAGAACAUUCAGAGCUAAGAGGAGGUCAGCAGCUACUCGUGUAUUCCUCUUACUUCACAAUGAAGAGGUGGUGAUAUAUUCAUGAGAGAGCAAGAGAUCAGAGUUGGCAUCGGCAGAAUCAGGACUAGAACUCCAGACUGGAAGUCAGUACCCGGUCUCCCGACUCUCUCUAUACCAGUGGGCUCAUUUUUCCAGUCUUUGCCAUCCUUUCAACACACACCAGAGAAGUCCCUGGCCUUCAAGAGAAUGCUGUGCUCGCAGAUCAGAGGUAUACUGUGUUCCUCUUCUAUUUAGGCACCUCCAUAUAUCAUUGAAAACUUGGAAAGAAGUUUUUUGAGUAGCUGCACAAGAUUUCGUUGUAUGUGUACACCACGAUUUAUGGAUCUACGGCUUCAUUUUUACACAUUUCUGUAACACGUUUUUGCUAUGCUGAAAACUCUGUGCUAAAAAUUCUUUUGACAUUUUGAAUUAUUUCCUACAAAAUAUCCAUAAUCAAGUUUUAUGGUAAUACUUUUGGUCAUUUCCAUAUUCUACAAACUUAAAUUUUAAAAAAGAAAAGCUUUCCAAAGAACAUUCCUUGCACUAACAAUCCUUAUUUAUAAGAGAGAUGAAAUGAAGUAUUCCCCUUUUAUAGCAUCCUACAAUGUGGAAUUCUACAAUCGUUUUUUAUUAAUAUUUAUAUUUGCCCAGAAAAUAUUUUAAUUUCCCUUUGUUGGAAUCUGCUAUAGAGUUCCAAGAGAAGAGAAACCUUCUCCAUGUUGGCUGCCAGGACCAGGUCGGGAGUCUUGUUCCCAUGGGCCUCCUGGGGUACUGGAGUCUGAGCUUUAGCUCCUUCUUGUGGGGUUGCCUCUCACCUGCCCUACCUUCCCUCCACCACCACCCGCCCCCCAACCCCCCACCCCGCCUUGGGAGACAGGCCUCUCAAGAACAAAUCACUCCUGAAAGGCCAAUGACAUAGGCUAGGGUGCCAAGCCACGGUGUGAGUUUCUGAAGAAACACCACACUGACUAAGCCAUUGAAAUGGAUAAUCUGGGGGUGCCUAGGUACCUCAGCUGGUGGAGUGCUCAACUCUUGCUUCUGCUUGGGUCAUGAUCCCGGGGCUCUAGGACCGAGCCCUGCAUGGGGCUCCACGCUCAGUAAGGAUCUGCUCAAGAUCGUCUCUCUCCCUCUCUGCCCCUCCAUCCACUAGCUCUCUCUCUCUUUCUCUCUCUCUCUCAAAUGAAUAAAUAAAUCUUGAAAAAAAAAAAGGAAGAAAUG
rnacentral:lncRNA from 1 species